GAAACUUAGGAUAACCUUAAACCGAAGGCCUUCAAAGCCUUAAAUAAGAGUCAGACCCUCUUAGUUUCUGC
rnacentral:tRNA from 1 species